rnacentral:tRNA from 1 species
AGGGAUGUGGCUCAGUGGUAAAGUGCUUGCCUAGCAUGUAUGAGGCCCUGGGUUCAAUCCCCAGCACUCCAA